UACGAAGGGGGCUAGCGUUGCUCGGAAUCACUGGGCGUAAAGCGCACGUAGGCGGAUUUGUAAGUCAGGGGUGAAAUCCCGGGGCUCAACCUCGGAACUGCCUUUGAUACUGCGAAUCUUGAGUCCGAUAGAGGUGGGUGGAAUUCCUAGUGUAGAGGUGAAAUUCGUAGAUAUUCGGAAGAACACCAGUGGCGAAGGCGACUCACUGGACACAUAUUGACGCUGAGGUGCGAAAGCGUGGGGAGCAAACAGG
rnacentral:rRNA from 1 species